AUGCCUCUAAUGCCGGAAGGAGAAAAGGGGGAAGGACAGAGUAAAUGAGAGGCAUCAUCAGAAGCAUUUGCAGGUUUCCCUGGAAGACCCGGAGAAAGAAGGAAAGCGGGCGAGCCGCGGAGCUGGAGGGACGAAGUUACCUUGAAGCUUCUGGGGAAGAAUUCGAAGAUGAUCUGUGUUUUUGAGGGGUGGGAGACUGGCAAGAGGGCCGCAGCGGGGGCGUAUGGCGGGACCGGGACUUGAGGUGGGAGGUCCGGACAGCAGGCAGGGAACCCAGGGAGACGGCUGUCCUGCGCGGGGUCCCUCCGGUUCCGCGGCGGCGGCACCUCUAGGCCUCACGGCUGGACCUGAAUCUCAGCGUUC